rnacentral:rRNA from 1 species
GACGAACGCUGGCGGCGUGCUUAACACAUGCAAGUCGAACGGAAAGGCCCUGCUUUUGUUGGGUGCUCGAUUGGCGAACGGGUGAGUAACACGUGAGUAACCUGCCCUUGACUUUGGGAUAACUUCAGGAAACUGGGGCUAAUACCGGAUAUGAUCUCCUGCUGCAUGGUGGGGGUUGGAAAGUUUCGGCGGUUGGGGAUGGACUCGCGGCUUAUCAGCUUGUUGGUGGGGUAGUGGCUGACCAAGGCUUUGACGGGUAGCCUGCCUGAGAGGGUGACCGGCCACAUUGGGACUGAGAUACGGACCAGAAUCCUACGGGAGGCAGCAGUGGGGAAUAUUGCACAAUGGGCGGAAGUCUGAUGCAGCAACGCCGCGUACGGGAUGACGGCCUUCGGGUUGUAAACCGCUUUCGACUGUGACGAAGCGUGAGUGACGGUAAUGGGUAAAGAAGCACCGGCUAACUACGUG